UUUAAGUACCAACUAUAAAUUUCCACAUCUAACUUUAAUCGUCCGUAUUAUUUAAAUUUUUUUAUAAUUAGUAUUUUCUAUGAGAUAAUAAAACAUGAAUAAUACUUUACUCGUGACUUAUGUUUUAAAUUUUUUUUAAAAAAAAAUUCAAAUAAGACGGACGGUUAAAGUUGGGCGUAAAAAAUCAUUGCUGCAUUUAAA
rfam:Oryza rufipogon genomic scaffold, chr12